rnacentral:rRNA from 1 species
AUUGAACGCUGGCGGCAGGCCUAACACAUGCAAGUCGAGCGGAUGAAGGGAGCUUGCUCCUGGAUUCAGCGGCGGACGGGUGAGUAAUGCCUAGGAAUCUGCCUGGUAGUGGGGGAUAACGUCCGGAAACGGGCGCUAAUACCGCAUACGUCCUGAGGGAGAAAGUGGGGGAUCUUCGGACCUCACGCUAUCAGAUGAGCCUAGGUCGGAUUAGCUAGUUGGUGGGGUAAAGGCCUACCAAGGCGACGAUCCGUAACUGGUCUGAGAGGAAGAUCGGUCACACUGGAACUGGGACACGGUCCAGACUCCUACGGGAGGCAGCAGUGGGGAAUAUUGGACAAUGGGCGAAAGCCUGAUCCAGCCAUGCCGCGUGUGUGAAGAAGGUCUUCGGAUUGUAAAGCACUUUAAGUUGGGAGGAAGGGCAGUAAGUUAAUACCUUGCUGUUUUGACGUUACCAACAGAAUAAGCACCGGCUAACUUCGUG